rnacentral:rRNA from 1 species
GAAAGGGGCAGUAAUGCGUGGGUAACCUACCUCGGGGACGAGGAUAGCCUCCCUAACGGGAGGGUAAUACUCGGCGAUUUGGUUGAGGGGCAUCUCUUGGCCAGGAAAUGAAUUUCGCCUCGGGAGGGGCUCACGUCGUAUUAGCUUGUUGGCGGGGUAACGGCCCACCAAGGCAAAGAUGCGUAGCGGGUGUGAGAGCACGACCCGCGCCACUGGCACUGAGACACUGGCCAGACACCUACGGGUGGCUGCAGUCGAGGAUCUUCGGCAAUGGGCGCAAGCCUGACCGAGCGACGCCGCGUGUGCGAUGAAGGCCUUCGGGUUGUAAAGCACUGUCGAGGGGGAUAAAACCGCAAGGUUGAUUGAUCCCUGGAGGAAGCACGGGCUAAGUUCGUGCCAGCAGCCGCGGUAAGACGAACCGUGCAAACGUUGUUCGGAAUCACUGGGCUUAAAGGGCGCGUAGGCGGCUGACCAAGUCUGGGGUGAAAUCCUGCAGCUUAACUGUAGAAGUGCCUGGGAUACUGGUCAGCUAGAGGGAGGUAGGGGUCUGUGGAACUGCUGGUGGAGCGGUGAAAUGCGUUGAUAUCAGCAGGAACGCCGGUGGCGAAAGCGACGGACUGGAUCUCUUCUGACGCUGAGGCGCGAAAGCUAGGGGGAGCAAACGGGAUUAGAUACCCCGGUAGUCCUAGCCCUAAACGAUGGGUACUAGAUUGCGAACU